rnacentral:lncRNA from 1 species
GUCGGCGUCGGACGCCGUUGGCCUGUGGGUGGCGGAGAAGCAGUGGUACGACCACGGCAGCAACAGCUGCGCCGCCGGGAAGGUGUGCGGGCACUACACGCAGGUGGUGUGGCGCGCCUCCACCGCCAUCGGAUGCGCUCGCGUCGUCUGCAACAACGGCGGCAUCUUCAUCACCUGCAACUACAGCCCGCCGGGCAACUACGCCGGACAGAGCCCCUACUAAGGCUGAGCUGGAUAUGAGUCCUGCAUGCCUAUAGUUUCAACUCAUCGUACGCAUAAUAUACCGGAGG